AAAUAAUAUGGAACUCUUAGUAGGAGACAAAGUAGUACUUAAACAUGUACAAAUGUUUGGCUUUUUUAUGGAAUGCUUUAGCAGAAAAUAGUAAUUCUGCGGCUAGCGCAGGUCAUCCGAAGUUUGUAACAUGCACACAUCAAAUUAUUUUCAAGAUACUUCAGUGUUCAUAUGACAUUAGAGGCAACACAGCCUCUUAAUCAAGAUGAAAUGUUCCAUCUUCACCCAUCCAGUAAAUAAAAAGUAAUUGCAACACACUCUUAACCACACGAUCAGCAUACUUCAA
rnacentral:misc_RNA from 1 species